rnacentral:rRNA from 1 species
CCUACGGGAGGCAGCAGUGAGGAAUAUUGGUCAAUGGACGAGAGUCUGAACCAGCCAAGUAGCGUGAAGGAUGACUGCCCUAUGGGUUGUAAACUUCUUUUAUAUGGGAAUAAAAUGUUCCACGUGUGGGAUUUUGUAUGUACCAUAUGAAUAAGGAUCGGCUAACUCCGUGCCAGCAGCCGCGGUAAUACGGAGGAUCCGAGCGUUAUCCGGAUUUAUUGGGUUUAAAGGGAGCGUAGGUGGAUUGUUAAGUCAGUUGUGAAAGUUUGCGGCUCAACCGUAAAAUUGCAGUUGAAACUGGCAGUCUUGAGUACAGUAGAGGUGGGCGGAAUUAGUGGUGUAGCGGUGAAAUGCUUAGAUAUCACGAAGAACUCCGAUUGCGAAGGCAGUUCACUGGACUGCAACUGACACUGAGGCUCGAAAGUGUGGGUAUCAAACAGGAUUAGAUACCCCUGUAGUC